GUUCCCUGGCGCAGCCUGAUGCAGCAACGCCGCGUGGAUGAUGACGCGCUCUUCGGGGUGUAAACUCCUUUUAUAUAAGAAGAAAUGACGGUACUAUUUGAAUAAGCGCCGGCUAACUCCGUGCCAGCAGCCGCGGUAUUACUCCGUGCCAGCAGCCGCGGUAAUAA
rnacentral:rRNA from 1 species